AUUCUAGUUUUAGAAAAGAAUAUGUAUGCAUAUAUUAUAGAAAAAUGGUUUUAAAUGAAAAAAUUGUUGAAAAUAUUUUUAAAUAUAAUAAAAUGGGUCAAAUUUCAUAAAAUGACCCAAAAACCAGAAACUUUUCUACCAAUGACCUCUUCCUAAAAACUUUUCAACUACUAAUCUUUUGCCCAUGCGAAAUUCCAAAAUUACUCCUAAUUUUAAAAAUCCUUCAGACUGUUUACUUACCUCUACGAAUAUUUUACAACGAUAGGUCCUUUCAUUUCUUUCAUUUCCUUCUCAAUCUUCGAAGAUUUUUCUCUCAAAUUUGCUCCCGUUUUCUCUUCGAACUUCAGCUGGGAACUCCUCACACGUUUCUCUUCAAACUUCAUUACCACCGUCGUCGUGAUCUGAAAGAUUGGUAACAUGGUCGUCCCUACUACAGUCGCUUGCCAAGUCCACAAAAUUGUCCCUAUGAUUAAGAAUCAGUUAACAGAAGAUCAAAUGAGACUGUAUAGGAAAACGACCUUUGGUCCACUGCUGGAUAUAGAUAUUGUUUUUAAUGGACAACUUUUGCACCAUUUUCUGUUAAGGGAGGUAGCAGAUGCAAACCCAGAUGUUAUAUCAUUCAACAUUCUAGGGAAGAAGGUAACAUCAAACCCAGAUGUUAUAUCAUUCAACAUUCCAGAGAAGAAGGUAACAUUCUCCCAAGAGAAUUUUAACUUGAUAACUGGCUUGUGGCCGACCAGGAAAAUAGUAGAAAGAGAAACAAGCGGUAAAAGGUUGCGAGAACUCAUUCUUGGACCUAAGGACCCAAAUGGAAAGGAUAGUUCUUGCAAGGACGUGGAGACCGCAUUCGAGAACUUCAACUUAACUGGGAUGCUGUCAAGGUUAUAUUAGCACUGUUUAUUGAAACUAUGAUGAUUGGAAAAGACAAAAAAAACCCAGUUUGAUGUGAAUUGUCGAUGACCACGACGUCUUCAUACAUUACAACUGGUCUUCUCUCUUUUAUCGAUGUACAUUGAAUAGCAUGAAGAUUAUCACGCGCAGGAAGAAGGAGGCAUAUGAUUCAAAGAAAGUAAAAUGUGAUCAUCAUGCCUUACAUUACUGUAUAAAGGGAUUCGUACUUGCUUUCCAGACUAUUGUUGUGUCGAGACUUGUACCUAGCGCAGAGGAGAUAAGGUACAAGGAGGACCGACUGGAAGGACUUAAUGUGGUUCCUGUUGUUGGAGCAAGAAGGAUUGAAGGGGUUGAACACUAAAUCGAUACUCACGAGUCCUUUAGGGGGCAUAAAGAGCAUGAACUCCAUGUAGAAAGCUCUGAAAAUGUGCAAGGUAUAGAGCCAGAACCAUGUAUGUCGGUUCAGGAUAACCUAAUAAAGCCGGAACCACGUAGGUAACAGAAGUCCUCAAUACAUCGUCAUUCCAAAUCAUACAAGAUUCUUAGGGCUGAAAUUAAAGAAGUUCACAAAUAUUUGGCAAACUUGACUACCAUGGUCUGUCAAAUGGUAAAUACAUUUACUAUCCAGCAUCAUCUGAUGGGCCAACAAUUGAACGCAAUAAAGAUGAUGGUUCAUCGUCUGAAUAAGGUAAGGGUAAAGAUGCACCAGCGAUGACGCAGCGGAAUUCAUGAUCGAGCCAC